UACGGAAGGGGGCUAGCGUUGUUCGGAAUUACUGGGCGUAAAGCGCACGUAGGCGGAUAUUUGAAGUCAGGGGUGAAAUCCCAGAGCUCAACUCUGGAACUGCCUUUGAUACUGGGUAUCUUGAGUAUGGAAGAGGUGAGUGGAAUUCCGGAGUGAUUAGAGGUGAAAUUCGUAGAUAUUCGGAGGAACACCAGUGGCGAAGGCGACUUACUGGACACAUAUUGACGCUGAGGUGACGAAAGGCGUGGGGAGCAAACAGG
rnacentral:rRNA from 1 species